rnacentral:rRNA from 1 species
GCGAAUCUCGAAAGCCUGUCUCAGUUCGGAUUGGAGGCUGAAACCCGCCUCCAUGAAGUUGGAUUCGCUAGUAAUCGCGCAUCAGCCAUGGCGCGGUGAAUACGUUCCCGGGUCUUGUACACACCGCCCGUCACACCAUGGGAGUCAGUAACGCCCGAAGUCAGUGACCUAACCGAAAGGGAGGAGCUGCCGAAGGCGGGACGGAUGACUGGGGUGAAGUCGUAACAAGGUAAC